rnacentral:rRNA from 2 species
AUGGGAGCUUGCUCCCUGAUGUUAGCGGCGGACGGGUGAGUAACACGUGGGUAACCUGCCUGUAAGACUGGGAUAACUCCGGGAAACCGGGGCUAAUACCGGAUGCUUGUUUGAACCGCAUGGUUCAAACAUAAAAGGUGGCUUCGGCUACCACUUACAGAUGGACCCGCGGCGCAUUAGCUAGUUGGUGAGGUAACGGCUCACCAAGGCAACGAUGCGUAGCCGACCUGAGAGGGUGAUCGGCCACACUGGGACUGAGACACGGCCCAGACUCCUACGGGAGGCAGCAGUAGGGAAUCUUCCGCAAUGGACGAAAGUCUGACGGAGCAACGCCGCGUGAGUGAUGAAGGUUUUCGGAUCGUAAAGCUCUGUUGUUAGGGAAGAACAAGUACCGUUCGAAUAGGGCGGUACCUUGACGGUACCUAACCAGAAAGCCACGGCUAACUACGUGCCAGCAGCCGCGGUAAUACGUAGGUGGCAAGCGUUGUCCGGAAUUAUUGGGCGUAAAGGGCUCGCAGGCGGUUUCUUAAGUCUGAUGUGAAAGCCCCCGGCUCAACCGGGGAGGGUCAUUGGAAACUGGGGAACUUGAGUGCAGAAGAGGAGAGUGGAAUUCCACGUGUAGCGGUGAAAUGCGUAGAGAUGUGGAGGAACACCAGUGGCGAAGGCGACUCUCUGGUCUGUAACUGACGC